rnacentral:rRNA from 1 species
UUGCUCUUCAACGAGGAAUUCCUAGUAAGCGCAAGUCAUCAGCUUGCGUUGAUUACGUCCCUGCCCUUUGUACACACCGCCCGUCGCUACUACCGAUUGAAUGGCUUAGUGAGGUUUCCGGAUUGGCUUUGAGGAGCUGGCAACGGCACCUUGUCGCCGAGAAGUUACCCAAACUUGGUCAUUUAGAGGAAGUAAAAGUCGUAACAAGGUUUCCGUAGGUGAACCUGCGGAAGGAUCACUAAAGUAAACGCCCUCCGGGGCUCUCUUUAUUCACACACCCCUGUGCACUUUGGCCACCUGCCGCGCUUCACUGCGUUAGUAGGUGUGUCUUUAUAAUUAUACCCAUAUACACAAGUCAUUGAAUGUAAAAUCGUUAUAAACUAAUAUAACUUUCAACAACGGAUCUCUUGGUUCUCGCAUCGAUGAAGAACGCAGCGAAUUGCGAUAAGUAAUGUGAAUUGCAGAAUUCAGUGAAUCAUCGAAUCUUUGGACGCAUCUUGCGCUCUUUGGUAUUCCGAAGAGCAUGCCUGUUUGAGUGUCAUGAAACUCUCACCUCCAGCCUUCUUUAAUUAGAGGUGUUGGGGCGUGGACGUGAGUGCUGCUGGUGCCCUGGUUGCAUCGGCUCACUUGAAAUAUGUUAGCUGACUCCUCUAGAGGUGGUUCUACUCGACGUGAUGAGAUCUCCGUCGAGGACAGUGCAACUUGUUGUGCUGGCCGCCCCUAGCAGUUGACGUCGCUUCUAAUUAGCGCAGACUUCGAGUGCUGGCAACUUUUGACAACUUGGCCUCAAAUCAGGUAGGACUACCCACUGAACUUAAGCAUAUCAAUAAGCGGAGGA